ACGUAGGUGGCAAGCGUUAUCCGGAUUUACUGGGCGUAAAGCCUGUGCAGACGGGUUGGUAAGUGGUGUAUGAAAGCGUCCGGCUUAACCGGGCAAGCGUAGGCCAGACUGCCAGUCUUGAGAGUGGGAGAGGGAUGUGGAAUUCCGGGUGUAGUGGUGAAAUGCGUAGAGAUCCGGAGGAACCCCAGAGGCGAAGGCGGCGUCCUGGCCCAUUUCUGACGUUCAGACAUGACAGCAUGGGGAGCAAACGGGAUUAGAAACCCCGGUAGUCCAUGCCGUAAACGAUGUCGACUAGGCGCUGGGCGGGUAAUACCGCGCGGUGCCGCAGCUAACGCGAUAAGUCGACCGCCUGGGGACUACGACCGCAAGGUUA
rnacentral:rRNA from 1 species